rnacentral:snoRNA from 1 species
GUGCCGUGAUGUAAUGUCAACACAUCAUUCUGAAGAGGAAUUGUGUGGAGACCUUCUGUGCUCAGUUGAGCACA